rnacentral:rRNA from 1 species
UUUGGGCGAGAGUAGUACUAGGAUGGGUGACCUCCUGGGAAGUCCUCGUGUUGCACCCC